rnacentral:rRNA from 1 species
GAUGAACGCUGGCGGCGUGCCUAAUACAUGCAAGUCGAGCGAACGGACGAGAAGCUUGCGUGUCUCAUGCGAGGGGCGGGCGGGUGAGUAACGCGUGGAUAACCUACCUAUAAGACUGGUAUAACUACGGGAAAGCGGAGCUAAUACCGUAGGAGAUCUUGAAGCGCGGGGGUGAAUGGUGAGAUACGGUGGUGCGGGCACGAAUAGAUGGAUCCGCGCUGCAUUAGCUAGUUGGUAAGGUAACAGCUUACCAAGGCAACGAUGCAUAGCCGACGGGACAGGCGGAUAGGCCACACGGGAGCUGAGCCACGGUCCAGACUCCUACGGUACGCCGCAGUAUGGAACGUUCGGCAGUGGGCGAAAGCCUUACGGAGCAAGGCCGCGCGAGAUAUGAAGGCCUUCGGAUCGUAAAACUCUGUUACUAGGGAAGAACAUAUGUGUAAGUAAAUGUGCACAUAGUGACGGUACCUAAUCAGAAAGCAACGGCUAACUACGUG